GUGUCCCUGAGGGUUGAGCUGACCCGCCAGGGCAUGUCCCCGCAGCCUUCUCUCGGCCUCAGCUCUUCAGUCCUCGGGUGCGUCCCUCCUUACUAGUUAGAAGGCGCGGUCUUCGGACUUAAGACAAAUCUAACCCUAAAAUUUGCGCGGCCGUUAUUGUUUAAGCAAAAAUGCGAACUAUUUUUGCCAAACAUCGUAGCUGCUGAACUAGCGAAGACUGUAGCAGGAAACCGAAUAUCAAGAAUGAGCAGGAGUGUGACAGGUGAAAAAGUUUUUAGCUGGACACGUGCUUGGAACGGAAAAGGGAAAUAAUCCGGGUCGGCGGCUGGUCUCCAAAGUGCUUAAUCUCCUCCCCGGCUCUACGGGAAGUAGCUGCUGUGCGCGGUGAAGAAGCCCUGAUCUAGGAGAAGAAUGCAGGAAGACCGGAGCGGACUGGGAAUUUCGCCCAGAUAAAUGAGUAAGGUCGUCAACAGUAGAAGGUGACCUUCUUUCGCAGGAGAGACAGGAGGACGGGGCAACUGCACUGGAGGAGCUUCUGGCAGUUAAAACUAUUCUAGAGGUUUCAAGUCUAAUAACUACAAACUGCUCAGUUCCAGUAGCAUUAAAGUAGAUUAACUACAGUAAGGAUUAGAAACGGUAAAGGAUCCAAAUUUGCAAGAUCAGAACCACCAAAACAAGAGUGAGUUAUGGAUGCUCUUCAAAUGGCCCAGUGCGAUACACUUUCUCACCGUCAAUGCAGCAGUAGAGGAAAUACUGAUGGACGUCAGCCACCAAACUAGGAUGGAUACCGUGUAUGUCCAUAAAGACUUCUUCCAUAGCAGCAACAAGCCUAAGUCCAGAACCCUUCACAUCAACUUACCAAUAAGUUCAAUAUGUAAAACAGUUAAAUUUGGUUCAAAUGCAGAAGGAUGAGAGUUAUUGCAACCUGGCAACACUCCCUACCCCCAUUCUAACCCUCCCUACAGGGGAGGCUCCAGGGAGUACUUUGAAAACCAUUGGAAAAAUUCUCCUCAUAAAUGACUUGAAAUGCCAUGUCUGUAGUAUGCUAUGUUAAAUUUUUUUACCCAUUCCAAUUAUUUUUCUAUUUUCCUGCGAAUCUCAUACUUUAAAUUAAUUUAGAGGCUAAGAGCUUUGUAAUAUAACAAAGGAAGAAAUUGAAAUGUCUAAUAAAUAAGUAAAAUAACAACAUGUUAUUUUGGGGGGCCUGCAUAUUA